GCCUUCCUGGAUGCUCUGCAGAACCAGGCUGAGGCCAGCAGCAAGAUCAUUGGCCAGUUUGGAGUGGGUUUCUACUCAGCCUUCAUGGUGGCUGACAGAGUGGAGGUCUAUUCCCGCUCGGCAGCCCCGGGGAGCCCGGGUUACCAGUGGCUUUCAGAUGGCUCUGGAGUGUUUGAAAUCGCCGAAGCUUCGGGAGUUAGAACCGGGACAAAAAUCAUCAUCCACCUGAAAUCCGACUGCAAGGAGUUUUCCAGCGAGGCCCGGGUGCGAGAUGUGGUAACGAAGUACAGCAACUUCAUCAGCUUCCCCUUGUACUUGAAUGGAAGGCGGAUGAACACCUUGCAGACGUUUCUCCUGGAUGGAGUCACGCGGCAUGCUGUCCUCAGUGACUGACUUCCCCCUCGCGGCUCAGCUGUGGUGCAGCGUGGGUCGUCAUCGCUCUCACGGCCCACAGUGUAUUCGUCAGCUCGCCCCUGCUGGGCAGCGUCAUCCUCUCCCACAGGCCCCCUCAGGGCCCAGCUGGUCCUCCUGACAUGUUGUCCUGAGGAGCUCCUGCCCCAGAGCCUUGUGUGUCUCCCCUGCACUACCCGGCAUA
rnacentral:sRNA from 1 species